CUGAAACCUCAGUUCCCAUGAGAUCAUCAAAGUUAAGCAAUGUCGAGCCUGAUCAGUACCUAGAUGGAUAACCACUUGGAAAUACCAGGUGCUGUAA